GCGGAAUAUAUUGGGCUGAUCCGGCUGGCCAUUUGGCCGGGCGGCAUUUGACGCCGUCUUUUCCUUUUUCAUGCGCUUUUCAUUUUCCUUCAUUUUGUGUUCGCUUUUUCCGUUUUCCUUUUUCCUUUGGCGCGGCCAGCGUUUGACGUCUGCGUGGAGGCAGUGCAUCACAGCCAGCGGGGCCUGUACAGGGUGCCUUGUGGCAGGGGCAUCUGUCGGAAGAUGCCCAUCUCAAGUGAUUUCACCUUCUGCCUUCUGUCUUUUGUCUUCUGUCCGAAUUUAGAUUUCUGAUUGCCGAUUUCUGAUUUUGUGCUGAUUCCGAUUUGGAUUUUUGAUUAGCGAACGCCUUCAAUUGCUGGCAGUUGGGGGCUUUAGUUUUGACAGCGAUGUGCGGACUUCCUGUAUCGCAUCGCGGACUGCACAAGAUAUAUGAAAGACAAGUGUUUCGAACGGACCCCCGGUUUUUUCCCCGAAGCGCUGUCUCGGCAAACGCAGCGACAAGAUGCGGGACAAAUGCCUGAAUAUAGAUACAUCCAAUGGAUGUGUCUCUGAUGAGCAAAUGCAAUUAUGUGGCAUGGCCAUAGGAGUAAUGGCAGCAAUAGGAGCAAUAGGAGCAGGGUGCAGUUGAGGAUGCUGGGUAAUGAAUAGAGCCACGAAAUAGAGCAGCAACUUCUUCGUAUUCCCCUCUCGAUGGUCCUGUUCUGCAUCUGUGUGUUUGCAUGUGGAAAACCACACUGAUGACAGACAAGCCACGGCAGAGAAAGCCAAAGGAUAACAUGAGAUAACACACAUCAAAAGCCACUCAGACACCCUCACACGCACAGCAGGGGUCAGGAAUAUAUAGCACAGUAUUAUUAUUUACAAGGGGAGUAAAUGAUUAAUAUGUCAUCGUCACUAUUGUGGUUUAUUCAAAAUUCCCAUUUUGUAUCUUUCCCUUUUGAGGUGUACUGGAAGUAAUAACACACUUUAAAUGCAUAUUACUCGAAUGUGUUUAAAGUGAAGCUAUAUUUUUGGAGCCCUCUGUGGGGAUGCUCCCCAUACCAGCUGCUCGUGAUCCUUUUGGCGACGAGAAAUCAGCGCUCAAAUAUGAUUAAUAAGUAAUUUCUUUGUCAACAAGUGACUGGGGAUGGCCUGCUAUGACGACAGCGGCGAUAACGACAACGAGAAUGUGAACGAGAAUGGAACGACGCCAUGGAAAUCUUUAAUAAAAUACAUGCAUAAAUAAAUUAUAGGGCAAACAGAGGCGAGAAAACAAACUGCGUGGAGAUGAACUGCUCUGAAUGGAGGCAAACUGCUCCAUUUGUUGACGUCACACGCACAGAGCACGUGUGUGUGUCUGUGUGUGUAAGCACACGCAGAAUCUGAGUUAGUAGGGUAUAUUGACUGGCUGGAACGGAAGGCCUCCAGGGGCACGACCUUAAAUUCGUAUACUCUAUUUGUAAUAAAAUACCUUUCAUCUAUGAAAAGCUUUUACAAUGUUCCUGAAAGAUAAAUAUUGAAUAUUGAA